rnacentral:lncRNA from 1 species
CACCCAGGACUAAAGUCUACACUUGUCAGAACUCAUUUUGAAAAUUUAGGUUUGGAAAAAAAGAAACAGGUGAAAAGGGCUAAAAAAUGUUGAGAGAGAAAAAGUUAAGGACAUAGAAAUAAGAUGGAAAUGGAGGGACAAAAGGUGUAUUUAAAGAGGAAAAAUUUCAAAGCAAUCCAGUCCGUACCAUUAAUGAAAAAGCUGGAAGAAAAAUGACAGUUAUUGAUGCAUUUAUGGGGAAACUUUCCCCAAAAGCUAUCGUGGGAAGGAGAAAAAGGUUUUUGUAGUCACC